CGUAAACUUUAAAUUACAUCCAUAUCGCCAGGGAACUACGAGCAAAGCUUAAAACCCAAAGGACUUGACGGUACCCCACAUCCACCUAGAGGAGCCUGUCCUAUAAUCGAUAACCCCCGUUUAACCUCACCAUUUUUAGCCUAUCAGCCUGUAUACCUCCGUCGUCAGCUUACCACGUGAGCGCUACUUAGUGAGCUCAAUGUCUCCACAUCAAUACGUCAGGUCAAGGUGCAGUAAAUAAAAUGGGAAGAGAUGGGCUACACUCUCUAAUUUAGAUAAUACGAAUGACUAUUUAUGAAACCUAGUCGGAAGGCGGAUUUAGUAGUAAAAAGAGACAAGAGAGCUCUUUUUAACUUGGCACUGGGGUGUGUACACACCGCCCGUCACCCUCUUCGAAGCCAUUAAACAGUAGUUAACCACACUCAGCACCCCAGAAGAGGCAA
rnacentral:rRNA from 1 species